rnacentral:rRNA from 1 species
AUGAACGCUGGCGGUCUGCUUAACACAUGCAAGUCGAACGGAAUCCUUAGGGAUUUAGUGGCGGACGGGUGAGUAACACGUAAGAACCUGCCUCUAGGACGGGGACAACAGUUGGAAACGACUGCUAAACCCGGAUGAGCCGAAAGGUAAAAGAUUAAUCGCCUAGAGAGGGGCUUGCGUCUGAUUAGCUAGUUGGUGAGGUAAGAGCCCACCAAGGCGACGAUCAGUAGCUGGUCUGAGAGGAUGAUCAGCCACACUGGGACUGAGACACGGCCCAGACUCCUACGGGAGGCAGCAGUGGGGAAUUUUCCGCAAUGGGCGAAAGCCUGACGGAGCAAGACCGCGUGGGGGAGGAAGGUUCUUGGAUUGUCAACCCCUUUUCUCAGGGAAGA